CAGUCGCCGCGGGAAUACGAAGGGGGCUAGCGUUGUUCGGAUUUACUGGGCGUAAAGGGCGCGUAGGCGGGCGAAUAAGUCAGGGGUGAAAUCCCAAGGCUCAACCUUGGAACUGCCUUUGAUACUGUUUGUCUUGAGUUCGAGAGAGGUAAGUGGAACUGCGAGUGUAGAGGUGAAAUUCGUAGAUAUUCGCAAGAACACCAGUGGCGAAGGCGGCUUACUGGCUCGAAACUGACGCUGAGGCGCGAAAGCGUGGGGAGCAAACAGGAUUAGAUACCCCUGUAGUCCCUGUCUCUUAUAC
rnacentral:rRNA from 1 species